rnacentral:rRNA from 1 species
CCUACGGGUGGCAGCAGUCGAGAAUCAUUCACAAUGGGGGAAACCCUGAUGGUGCGACGCCGCGUGGGGGAAUGAAGGUCUUCGGAUUGUAAACCCCUGUCAUGUGGGAGCAAAUUAAAAAGAUAGUACCACAAGAGGAAGAGACGGCUAACUCUGUGCCAGCAGCCGCGGUAAUACAGAGGUCUCAAGCGUUGUUCGGAAUCCCUGGGCGUAAAGCGUGCGGAGGCUGUUUCGUAAGUCGUGUGUGAAAGGCGCGGGCUCAACCCGCGGACGGCACAUGAUACUGGGAGGCUAGAGUAAGGGAGGGGGAACCGGAAUUCGCGGUGUAGCAGUGAAAUGCGUAGAUAUCGAGAGGAACACUCGUGGCGAAGGCGGGUUCCUGGACAUUAACUGACGCUGAGGCACGAAGGCCAGGGGAGCGAAAGGGAUUAGAUACCCGAGUAGUC